GUUCCCUUCAGAUUCUCCCUCGCCUCUCAUCCCUCCCAAACCCUCUCUCUCUCUCUCUCACCAUGGAACUAGAACACUCCAAAACCACCUCUGCAAAUACCGCUGGUAUUCAAAAACCACAAAACCACUCUCAAACCUCCUCCAUCUCUUCCAUCACCGUCGAAAAGCUGCCCCACCUCUCGGACUACAUCCCAACCAUCCAAACCUACAUCAACCCUUUAGACAACAAUCCAUUCUACCACCCCACCGAUGGCUUCUACAUCAACCCAUCAGACGUCAUCCUCCAUCGGACCAUCUACGACCUCUCCAGCACCUUUCCCGCCACCAGGCCUAACCCAGCCUACCAUCUUGCGGGCCCACGUAAGGAGAUCUUCUUCAACCCGUCGCAAGUGCAUGCAGCGAUCGUGACCUGUGGUGGGCUAUGCCCUGGCCUGAAUACUGUUAUAAGAGAGCUUGUGGUGGGGCUUUGGGAGCUUUAUGGUGUCCGUCGGAUCUCGGGGGUGUUGUCGGGGUACCGUGGUUUCUACACGAUGGAGCCGAUACAGUUGGAUCCGAAGCUAGUGCAUAACUGGCACAAGCAAGGUGGGUCCGCCCUCAAGACGUCACGCGGUGGGUUUGAUCUCGAGAAGAUCGUCAAUGCCAUUGAGGCACGUGGGUUUAAUCAGGUAUAUAUCAUAGGUGGUGAUGGAACGAUGCGUGGUGUUGUCAAGAUCUUCAAAGAAAUCUGUCGCCGGAAACUCAACAUUGCCAUUGCCGGGAUCCCUAAAACUGUUGACAAUGACAUUGGCAUCAUCGACAGGUCAUUUGGUUUUCAAACAGCCGUGGAGACUGCCCAACAACCCAUCAGCGCAGCCCAUGUGGAGGCAGAGAGCGCUGUCAACGGCAUUGGCUUGGUUAAGCUGAUGGGCCGCAGCACAGGCCACAUUGCUCUCCAUGCAACCUUAAGUAGCCGUGAUGUGGAUUGUUGUUUAAUACCUGAAAUGGAAUUUUACUUAGAAGGGAAGGGUGGGCUAUUUGAAUUCCUCGGGCAAUGCCUGAAGGAGCAAGGGCAUGCUGUGAUAGUAGUGGCUGAGGGGGCUGGCCAGGACUUGAUACCGAGAACUGAUGCCCAAAAAGAAGAGAGAGAUGAGUCGGGCAAUCCGGUAUUCUUAGACGUCGGUGUUUGGCUGAAAUCAGAAUUGAAGCGAUGGUGGACCAGAGAUCAUGCAGGGGAGUUGUUCACAGUGAAGUACAUAGAUCCUACAUACAUGAUACGGGCAUUGCCCGCAAAUGCUACUGAUAACUUGUAUUGUACGCUCCUGGCCUACUCGACAAUACACGGGGUCAUGGCAGGGUACACUGGGUUUGUAUCAGCUCCGAUCAACAGUAACUAUGUGUAUAUUCCAGUGGCCGAGGUGGCUGAAUCGAGGAAUGUGGUGGACAUAAAGGAUCAUAAGUGGGCUUGGGUCAGAUCAGUGACCAACCAGCCGGAUUUCAUGAGGAUUGAUAUAGGUAAAUGAUGUCAGAAGAUCAUGAAAUUAGUCCAUUUGAAAGCUUAUGGAGUUAGCUUCAAGCCAAGGUUCACAUAAUUUCGAUGCCAUUUAAGUGAUAGCUAGAUCUUUGAAAUUUUCGACUGUCCAUGCUAGAGUCGCUCUUCGGAGGCGGAAGGCCAAACCAUGUAUUCAGCGCUUUGUCCCCCUUUUGCAUUAAGACCCCACAUGUCCCCACACCGCAGAUGCCUUUCAAUUAAGACUAUCACAUUAUCAUUAUCAGGUAGUGACUACUUUAAUUAGGUAGCCAUCUUUGGGUGUGGCUUUUAACAGGGUUGAACUUCCAACACUUGGCCCCAACAUGAUGUAGGUGUUUUAUCCAUGCUGUCCAGUGGCCAUCCAUUUUGCUAGCUCAUUUUAGGGUAUGAGCCCAAAAACGAGGCAGAUCCAAAGCUCAAGUGGGUCACACCACAAGGAACAGUGGUGAUUGAAUGCUUGAAAACUUCUUCGGGACCAACCACAAUCUUUGUUUGCCAUCAAACCUAUUCAUAAAGUCACAUAACCCCAGAUGAUGGGAAAACACAACUAUCAGCUCGAUCCAAAACUUCUGUGGCCCUCAAGAAGCUUUCAACGGCAGGCGUUCAAUCCCCACUGUUUCCUGUUGUGUGGUCCACUUGAGCUUUGGAUGUGCCUCAGUUUUUGGGCUCAUGCCCUAAAAUUAGCUGGCAAAAUGGAUGGACAGCAUGGAUAAAUCACAUACAUCAUGGUGAGGCCGACAGAGCUUUUCCACCAGCUAGCUGGGUUAUGUUGGGUCACCAGCCAAUCCUCUUCUAUGUGAGCCACACCUUUGGUGCCAUCCAAAAUCCCUUUCUUUAAAAUUAGGGAACUCCCAACUAUUUCAGAUUA